rnacentral:RNase_P_RNA from 1 species
UCAGGCGGCUGGGCGAUCGCUGGCAGGGUAACUUGCUGGAGGAAAGUCCGGGCUCCACGUAGGCAAGGCGGCGGAUAACGUCCGCCCGGGGAAGCGACCGAAAGGAAGCGUAACCCGAGGGAUAGCGCCACAGAAAGCAAACCGCCCGGGACUUGUCCCGGGUAAGGGUGAAAGGGUGGGGUAAGAGCCCACCGCGUUCCUGGUGACAGGGAUGGCAAGGUAAGCCCCGCCUGGAGCAAGACCGAAUAGGGAUGGACGUCCGCAAGGGCAGGCACGCCUUCGUGCUCCAUCCGGGUUGGUCGCGCGAGGCGGUCCGCAAGGAUCGUCCCAGAGGAAUGGUCGCCCAUGGGUCGCAAGACCCGGGACAGAACCCGGCUUACAGGCCGCCUGAUCGA